CAUGAACACAAGGCAAUGAAAGUGAAUACACUUCAACAUCCACAAUUCAAAAUGGAAAACUAAAUGCGCCAAACAUCAAGGGAACAUCAAGACUCAGGUUGGCCAUGAACCACCACCAACCACCGUGCCAGAGGUUGCCUCCGACAACGGUGGUGUCAGAAAACUCAAAUUAAGAUCACCAUUCAAUAUGCAAUAUCGAGUUGAUCAUGGAUAUGGAAGUGAAAUUGCAAAAUUCUCAAAGGAGAACUCAAAUCGAGGGGAAGCAUGUCAAGAACCCUAGAAGCUUAAAGUUAAAUUAAAUGGUGGUUACGAGGAAUCAAGCCCUAGGACCUUAGGGCUUUAAUUCCUCUUGUGAAAGCUUACAUGAUGGUAACUAGCGAUUGAAGAAAAGGUGGAGAUUUGAGGUUAGCCUAUCGGAGAAGAAGAUCAGAAAAAGCAUCUCAGGUGAGUUCUUUCCUUCCUCUUUGACUUUUCUGUCUCGAAUUCUCCUCUUCUUCUUUGUUCUUCUUCUUGAAAUGUGGAUGAGUGAAUUUAGUUGAAUGGAGUUGAAUUCCUCAAGGGUAAGGUUUUGAUGAUGGAGGUUAAUGGAGGUUCUGUUUAAGUGGUUGAAGGUGAGAACUUUCAGAGGUUUGAGAGAUUCAAGAAGAGUGAUUUUGAGAAUUUGUGAGGAUGAAGUGAUUUAGAGAUUUUUCGAGAUGAAUGACCCAGGUUGUGAUUGCGUUCUGAUUCCUCCUCUAUGAUUCAGGUAAUGAUUAUGUUAUAUAAUUAGUUGUUUCCUUUGAAUCUAUGAAAAUCGGUUAGGAUUUUGUAAUUAAAAAAUCUCUAAAAUCAAGGGCAAGUAGUUAGUUAUAAUUGUUUGAUGAUUUCUGUUUGUAUCAUUUGUGUUGAAAUCUAGGUAAUCCAGUUGGCAAUGAUUGGUUAAGUUUAGUUAUGAGUUUCUGUUUAGUUAGUUGGUGUUAUGGCAAUUAGGUUAGUUGGUGGGCAUGAGUUCAGUUGGUGGUGGCAUGAACUGAUUAGGUUGUGAUAGGUUCAGCUGCCUUGCUUGAUGGAAGUGCCUUGGUUUUGCUAUGCAAUGAUUUUGGCACGUGUUUGCUGCAAGUCUUGGUCAUUAUGUUGUAGGCUAUGUGCAUAGUAUAAUGUUGCUUGGUGAAUGGCUAUGGUUUUUUUACUAGCUCAUGUCCUGAUGGUUGUAUAUCUAGUUUGAUGGUAUUGUCUGUUAACUGUUGUAGGUGCAUGGUCAUGAUGCAAGGUUUGUGUGUUGCAGACAUGGUCCAUUGCUUGGUCUUCUAGGCAUAUGUCUGGUAUGCAUGACUGUUAGCUUGGCAUUGUUAUGGUUCAUUUGGUAGUUAUGGGUUGGCAUUGAUGCAUAUAUGUUGGUCUUGGUGCAGUGCCAUGAAAUAUUAUAUGUAUGUCAUGUGUGUGCUGUAAUGUUGUAUUUAUUUGUUUGCAUUGCAAUAGGUUUCUGCCAUGGUUUCAAGGACAAGGUGUGCUGGAGGCUGGUUGUAUUAGUAGGCCAUGGUUGCAUGACAAGUAACAUGGUGGCUUAGAAAUGUUGGAAACAUGCUUUCUUGUACAUGUAAUGUAAUGUUUGACCGUAUUGGAAUGUAUUGUAGUGUAUUGGGACCUGUUUGCAUAAUACUUGAACAUGCUUGGAUUUGACUUGGUUGGUUUUAUAGGUUUGUGGACAUGAACAUGAACAUGUAUAAUGGAAACUUAUAUUUGAAGCAACCAUGGUAAAAGCAAGUAAAUAUGGCUUUUGGAUGAUUGAAUCAAGGCCAAUGGGAUGAGAUUAGGUCUUAGGGUGGUCAAGGGGGGUCAGAUAACUUUGGUCAACUGAUUGACCAAAAAGUCAAUUGUUUGACCAAAAGUCAACUGUUGUCAUUUUUGUCAAACUUGUAUUUUUUUAUGUUAUGGAUUUUCUUGUAAUGAAAUGGACAUUUGGUAUUUGGUAUAUGGAAAUGAUAUUUGAA
rnacentral:lncRNA from 1 species